rnacentral:rRNA from 1 species
GAUGAACGCUAGCGGGAGGCCUAACACAUGCAAGCCGAGCGGUAGAGUUUCUUCGGAAACUUGAGAGCGGCGCACGGGUGCGUAACACGUGUGCAACCUACCUUUAUCUGGGGGAUAGCCUUUCGAAAGGAAGAUUAAUACCCCAUAAUAUAAUGAUUGGCAUCAAUUAUUAUUGAAAACUCCGGUGGAUAGAGAUGGGCACGCGCAAGAUUAGAUAGUUGGUGAGGUAACGGCUCACCAAGUCAAUGAUCUUUAGGGGUCCUGAGAGGGAGAUCCCCCACACUGGUACUGAGACACGGACCAGACUCCUACGGGAGGCAGCAGUGAGGAAUAUUGGACAAUGGGUGAGAGCCUGAUCCAGCCAUCCCGCGUGAAGGAGGACGGUCCUAUGGAUUGUAAACUUCUUUUGUACAGGGAUAAACCUACUCUCGUGAGGGUAGCUGAAGGUACUGUACGAAUAAGCACCGGCUAACUCCGUG